rnacentral:SRP_RNA from 1 species
ACCAAGCAUGGUGUCACAUACCUGUAAUCCCAGCCCCUGAUAGUUGAUGAGGCAGGCUCAGGUGUUCUGUGCUGCAAUGGGGUAAGCCAAUCAGGUGUACAGACUAAGCUUAGCAUCAAUAUGGUGAUCCUCCACGGCCACCAUAUUGCCUAAGGAGGGGGCUAACCCAGGUUGGAAACAGAGCAGGUCAACACUCCUAUGGCAAUCAGUAGUGGGAUCAGUCUUAUGAGUAGCCCCUGUCCUUCUAGCCUGGGAGAGAAGGGAAGACACAGUCU